GUGUUUGCUUCGGCAGCACAUAUACUAAAAUUGGAAUGAUACAGAGAAGAUUAGCAUGGCCCCUGCACAAGGAUGACACACACACACCAAAAAAAAAAAAAAAAAAG